AUUGAACGCUGGCGGCAGGCUUAACACAUGCAAGUCGAGCGCGCGGGGGACGGGGGAGUGAUGUAUGGGGACUGCGCGCUGGAGGGGGGUAAAUACUGGAAACGGUGGCUCAUAUCGCAUACUGUCGGGGGACCCAUAUGGGAUUAGCUAGUAGGUAAGGUAAUGGCUUACCUAGGCGACGAUCCCUAGCUGGUCUGAGAGGAUGAUCAGCCACACUGGGACUGAGACACGGCCCAGACUCCUACGGAGGCAGCAGUGGGGAAUUUUGCACAAUGGGCGCAAGCCUGAUGCAGCCAUGCCGCGUGUAUGAAGAAGGCCCUAGGGUUGUAAAGUACUUUCAGUCGGGAGGCGUUACCGGCAGAAGAAGCACCGGCUAACUCCGUGCCAGCAGCCGCGGUAAUAC
rnacentral:rRNA from 1 species